rnacentral:misc_RNA from 1 species
AGUCCUACCUGAUUCGAGGUCAACGUUCAGAAGUUGGGUGUUUUACGGCGUGGCCACGUCGGGGUUCCGGUGCGAGUUGGUUUACUACGCAGAGGUCGCCGCGGACGGGCCGCCACUCCAUUUCAGGGCCGGCGGUGUGCUGCCGGUCCCCAACGCCGACUUCCCCAAAGGGAGGUCGAGGGUUGAAAUGACGCUCGAACAGGCAUGCCCGCCAGAAUGCUGGCGGGCGCAAUGUGCGUUCAAAGAUUCGAUGAUUCACUGGAUUCUGCAAUUCACAUUACUUAUCGCAUUUCGCUGCGUUCUUCAUCGAUGCCAGAGCCAAGAGAUCCGUUGUUGAAAGUUUUAAUUUAUUUGUUUUGCCUUGCGGCGUAUUCAGAAGAUGCUGAUAAUACAAGAGUUUGAUGGUCCCCGGCGGCCGCUGGUCCAGUCCGCGUCCGGCUGGGGCGAGUCCGCCGAAGCAACGAUAGGUAGGUUCACAUAAGGGUUUGGGAGUUGAAAACUCGGUAAUGAUCCCUCCGCUGGUUCACCAACGGAGACCUUGUUACGACUUUUACUUCCUCUAAAUGACCGAGUUUGGAGAGCUUUCCGGCCCUGGGGGGUAGUUGCCCACCUCCCUGGGCCAGUCCGGACGCCUCACUGAGCCAUUCAAUCGGUAGUAGCG